CUUCACAUAUCACUUUACAGUCUUAUUGAUCAAUAAAAAUGGAACCACCAUCGAUUUGAAGCCAUGAAUUCAUCUUUUUGUUAAGACCAUAAACCGUACUGAAAAAAAUCCGCCAUUUCAUUGAUUGCAGAUGAAAUAGAGCAACAUUUUAGAUCAAAUCAAAGGCUUUUUUAUCUUGACAAUAUCAUUGACAAAAAGUUGUAGCCUAUUUUUGGGAUUUUUGGUCGAUUACUGGUGGAUUUGUGAUUUGAACUCACGGUUUCCGAAGAACAGGUAAGGGUUUCAAAACUUCCACCAUUUCAUCAAUUGCGGAUGAAAGAAGGCAAGGUUUUUUUUUAUCAAACUACCAUCGAUUUGAAGGUUCUUGAUCAAUUAUUUGAGCAAAAUCAAAUCUUUGCAGCCUUCAUAGAUCACUUUAUAGUCUUAUUGAUCAUUAACAACAAAACCACCAUCGUUUUUUGAAAAAAAUCCGCCAUUUCAUCGAUUGGAGACGAAAUAGGGCAAGAGUUUAGAACAAAUAAAAGGCUUUUUUAUCUUGAUAGUAUCAUUGACAAGAAAUUGUAGCUUAUUUUUGGGUUUUUUGGUUGAUUACUAGUCGAUUUGUGAUUUGAACUCACGGUUUCUGAAGAGGAGGUAAGGAUUUUAAAAUUUCUACCAUUUCAUCAAAUGCAAAAGAAAAAAGGAAAGUUUUUUUUACCAAAUCAGAGGGUUUUUAUCUCAAUAGUAUUAUGCACAAUAUAUUGUAGCAUGUUUUCGGUUUUUGUUGUCGAUUACUGGUGUAUUUAUGAUUUGCAGUCACGAUUUCUCAAGAACAGGUUAAGGUUUUCAUUUUUCCAACAUUUCAUCGAUUGUAAACGAAAUAGAGUACGAUUUUUUUAUCAAUUCAGAGGAUUUUUAAUUUUAAUAAUAUUAUUCACAAGAUAUUGUAGCUUAUUUUUUGGAUUUUUUGGUCGAUUAAUGGUGUCUUUGCGAUUUGAAGUUACGUUUUCUCAAUAAUAGGUUAGGGUUUUCAUUUUCUUGCCAUUUCAUCGAUUGUAUGCAAAAGAGGGCAUGAUUUUUUUAUCAAAUCAGAGGAUUUUUUAUCUUAAUACUAUUAUUCACAAGAUAUUGUAGCCUAUUUUAGGGGGUUUUGGUCGAUUAAUGGUGUAUUUGUGAUUUGAAGUUUCUCAAUAACAAUCUAGGGCUUUUUUUUUUUGGGUAAAUUGCAUAAAACCCCCAGAAAUGGACUUUCUAAGCAAUUUACUCCCAACUUAACUUUUCCUAGCAACUUUUUCCCCAAAAGCAUGUUUCUUAGCAAAUACUCCCCAACUCAAAAAAAAAAAAAAAAAAAACGAAACGAAAAUAUCCCUCCCUUACCUCACAUGUUGAUCAUGGCGGUCUGACACUUCACCAUGGUUGUUCGGCAUUAGGAAGAGGCGGUUUGGCACUUAAGCCACUUAUUUGGAAUGGUCCGGUACUUCACCAUGGCUGUUUGGCACUUCAUCACGGCGGUCUGGAGUUUGGAAGAGGCGGUCCAGCAUUUGUUUCUAGAUUGAUGAACGGUCUAGCAUUUGUGAGCUACGGUCCGGAAAAAUUGAAAAUUGUGUCUAGAAUAGGUGGCCCGACAGUGUACAGUUCCGAUUCAGCAUAAUGGAUGGGUCUGACAAUAUACAAUUGCGAUCCGACGUUUCCUUUUGGGAUCCGAAAAUGAUUUGUUAUUUAUGGGAAGGGUAUUUUCAUCAAAAAUAAAAUGAACUUUUUGUAUUGGGGGGUAUUUUAUUUAAAACUUGAUUUUUGGGAAAAAUAUACUAAGAAAAAUUAGGGUGGAGGUAAAGUGCCUAGAAAGUCUAUUUUGGGGGUUUUAUGUAAUUUUUCAUUUUUUUUCCCGUAAAACUAAUGAUAUAAUUUUUAUUAUUUUUUGUGUGAACAAAGUUUUGUUGAUCGAAUUUUGAAAAAAUCGUGAUUGUU
rnacentral:lncRNA from 1 species